rnacentral:tRNA from 1 species
GGGGUUGUAGUUCAAUGGUAGAACAUUUGCCUAGCACAUAUGAGGCACUGUUUGAUUCUCAGCACCA